GGACGAACGCUGGCGGCGUGCUUAACACAUGCAAGUCGAACGGAAAGGCCCUGCUUUUGUGGGGUGCUCGAGUGGCGAACGGGUGAGUAACACGUGAGUAACCUGCCCUUGACUUUGGGAUAACUUCAGGAAACUGGGGCUAAUACCGGAUAGGAGCUCCUGCUGCAUGGUGGGGGUUGGAAAGUUUCGGCGGUUGGGGAUGGACUCGCGGCUUAUCAGCUUGUUGGUGGGGCAGUGGCUUACCAAGGCUUUGACGGGUAGCCGGCCUGAGAGGGUGACCGGCCACAUUGGGACUGAGAUACGGCCCAGACUCCUACGGGAGGCAGCAGUGGGGAAUAUUGCACAAUGGGCGGAAGCCUGAUGCAGCAACGCCGCGUGCGGGAUGACGGCCUUCGGGUUGUAAACCGCUUUCGCCUGUGACGAAGCGUGAGUGACGGUAAUGGGUAAAGAAGCACCGGCUAACUACGUG
rnacentral:rRNA from 1 species